AAUGAACGCUGGCGGCAGGCCUAACACAUGCAAGUCGAACGGAUCCUUCGGGAUUAGUGGCGGACGGGUGAGUAACGCGUGGGAACAUACCCUUUGGUACGGAAUAGCCUCGGGAAACUGGGAGUAAUACCGUAUGUGGUCGAGAGACGAAAGAUUUAUCGCCAAAGGAUUGGCCCGCGUUGGAUUAGGUAGUUGGUGGGGUAAUGGCCUACCAAGCCGACGAUCCAUAGCUGGUUUGAGAGGAUGAUCAGCCACACUGGGACUGAGACACGGCCCAAACUCCUACAGGAGGCAGCAGUGGGAAAUCUUAGACAAUGGGGGAAACCCUGAUCUAGCCAUGCCGCGUGAUCGAUGAAGGCCUUAGGGUUGUAAAGAUCUUUCAGGUGGGAAGAUAAUGACUGUACCACCAGAAGAAGCCCCGGCUAACUCCGUGCCAGCCGCCGCGGUAA
rnacentral:rRNA from 1 species